UAAGGAAAACAGCCAUGAAAGCCAUGUUAUUUAAGAAUGUUAGGCUGGCCGGGCGCGGUGGCUCACGCCUGUAAUCCCAGCACUUUGGGAGGCCGAGGCAGGCAGAUCAUCUGUGGUCAGGAGUUCGAGACCA